rnacentral:rRNA from 1 species
UACGUAGGGUGCGAGCGUUAAUCGGAAUUACUGGGCGUAAAGCGUGCGCAGGCGGUUCGUUAAGUUCGUUGUGAAAGCCCCGGGCUCAACCUGGGAACUGCAAUGGAAACUGGCGGGCUUGAGUGUGGCAGAGGGGGGUGGAAUUCCGCGUGUAGCAGUGAAAUGCGUAGAGAUGCGGAGGAACACCGAUGGCGAAGGCAGCCCCCUGGGCCAACACUGACGCUCAGGCACGAAAGCGUGGGGGGCAAACAGG